rnacentral:rRNA from 1 species
CUCGGAUCAGGUAGGGAUACCCGCUGAACUUAAGCAUAUCAAUAAGCCGGAGGAA